UGAAUACGAGAUGCUACGGCGUCGAAGCAGUGUACGUCAGACUUCCAAGAAAAGCUCGCAAUGUCAUAAAUAAAGAAUGCCUGUACCAUAACCGACACAGGUGGGUAGGUAGAGUAUACUAAGGGGCGCGAGAUAACUCUCUCUAAGGAACUCGGCAAAAUAACUCCGUAACUUCGGGAGAAGGAGUGCCUUCUUUAAGAAGGUUGCAAUAACAAGAUCCAAGCAACUGUUUAUCAAAAACACAGGUCUCCGCUAAGUCGUAAGACGAUGUAUGGGGGCUGACGCCUGCCCAGUGCCAGAAGGUUAAAGAAGUUGGUUAGCUUUUGCGAAGCUGAUGACUGAAGCCCUGGUGAACGGCGGCCGUAACUAUAACGGUCCUAAGGUAGCGAAAUUCCUUGUCGGGUAAGUUCCGACCCGCACGAAAGGCGUAAUGAUUUGGAUACUGUCUCGGAGAGGGACUCGGUGAAAUAGACUUGUCUGUGAAGAUGCGGACUACCUGCACCAGGACAGGAAGACCCUAUGAAGCUUUACCGUAACUUGAAAUUGAAAUUGGACUUUAUUUGCGCAGUAUAGGUGGAAGGCGUUGAAAGUAAUCUUGCGGGAUUAGUGGAGCCAUCAGUGAGAUACCACUCCUAUAAUGUUAGAUUUCUAACUUUGGAUCAUGAUCUGGUCAAAGAACAGUUUCAGGCGGGCAGUUUGACUGGGGCGGUCGCCUCCCAAAUGGUAACGGAGGCGUACAAAGGUUUCCUCUGAACGGGUAGAAAUCGUAUCUAGAGUGUAAAGGCAUAAGGAAGCUUGACUGUGAGACCUACAAGUCGAGCAGGGACGAAAGUCGGUCUUAGUGAUCUGACGGUGCUGAGUGGAAAGGCCGUCACUCAACGGAUAAAAGUUACUCUAGGAUAACAGGCUGAUCUCCCCCAAGAGUUCACAUCGACGGGGAGGUUUGGCACCUCGAUGUCGGCUCAUCGCAUCCUGGGGCGGUAGUACGUCCCAAGGGUUGGGCUGUUCGCCCAUGAAAGCGGUACGCGAGCUGGGUUCAGAACGUCGUGAGACAGUUCGGUCCAUAUCCGGUGUAGGCGUUAGAAUAUUGAGAGGAGCCUUCUUUAGUACGAGAGGACCGAGAAGGACAUACCUCUGGUGUACCAGUUAUCGUGCCAACGGUAAACGCUGGGUAGCUAUGUAUGGAGAGGAUAACCGCUGAAAGCAUCUAAGUGGGAAGCCCACCUCAAGAUGAGUAUUCUC
rnacentral:rRNA from 1 species